UCCGGAACUUCCAGAGCCUUAUUUGAGUAUUAAUUUUGCUAGAGAUGGAAUGCAAAAAAAGGAUUAUUGGUUGCAGUUCAUAGUGAUGCAUGGUUGCUUGCCGUGUCCUUUUAUUUUGAGGCUAGAUUUGGAUUUGACUAACCUGAUAGGUAAUUCAUUUUCUCAUUCGACAACUUAUUUGUGUGCUACUAUGCAUCUGUUGAAUUUUUAGUCCCUUCGGAUUUUUACUAUCAAUAGGCAUGGAGACUUUGUCAUUGUUAAUUUUCAGCUUUUAUAUGUUGUCAAUGUGGAAGGAUAAUGAUUCUGAAUAAGCAAAUUCAUUAUCAGUUUUAACAAAUAUCACCAGGCUGUUAAUUAUGAGUUUUAUGUUGGCUUGCGCCUCAAUAUGAUAUUUGAAGGGAAAGACUCAUGAAAGAAGAAACAAAUAUGCCCUUAAAAGUCUGCCAAGGCAUGCAACCUGGAUUCGCUCAAGUGAUUUUGUUGAAGCUUUGCCUGAACUGAACUCUUUUGAUUCUUAAUCUGAUAAGCAACAGAUGUCUUAAUAUUAUCUUCCCAAUUGACCUGGAUUUGACAUGUUGAGAUUGAUUGUUUUCCAGGAGAAAGUACUAAUUAGUAGUAUAAUAAUUUUAAGCUUUUACUUA